rnacentral:lncRNA from 1 species
GGGCACUCAAACCACAAGACACAGUCCUUCCCACUCUUCCCUUCCUUUUCCAAAGGCAGAGGAGCCUCAACCUGCAGCCACCACCACCCCAGGCCACAGGGAGUACUGCCAGACAACUAUCGAUGUUCCCUUAAGGCCCAACAUCUCUUCAAUCAGCUUGUGGUGAAUGCUGCCUGGCCUGGAACUCACCCUGCAGGAACAGGAUUCAUCACUCGGUGUUUGAUGUGAAGUCCCUUCAGCUCUCCAAGCCCCAGUGUCCUCGUGAAUCAAGCGGAGAUCAUCUUAAAGCCCUCAACAGGGACAAGUGUGAAGGAACCAGUAAGAGAAUGCUGAGAUCAGAAGCCUGGAUCCUGCCCAGCCCCAUCCCCGAUGGUCUCAUGCCAACCGUCAGGACCCAACGUUAUCCAGAGACUGGGCUCUAACCACAGCCUGGACUCCUCUAACCCUGGGCCCAGCCACAACCACUCUAGGACUUCUGCUUUGGAAAACAGAAAGCUCAAGCCCCCGAAAAUAAAAGUCCUGGAAAUGUUCCCAGUUAGCAGACACUAGGUCUCCCCUAGUGACACAGAGAGAAGAGAAACAAACAGGCACUAGGAGGGAUUGAGGUGGUCCCUCUGUCCCCCACACACUCCUUCACCCACUGGGCAGCUGCAGCAAUGCUCUCUGUCUUGGUGAUGUCCAUGGUCACCGUCUCCAGCCUGUCUGAAGUCUGGCCCCUCAGCUGCUUGGUCCCCUUCUCUGUCCUACAUGCAGCUCCCGCAAGCCUGUGCAUUCAGUUGUCUGGCCAGUAGCUUCCUGAAGCGUGAGUCACAGCUCAUGAUGAACACGUACUUGUCUCUCAGGUGACUCACCACCUGCCUCUCCCAGUACCAGUGCAGAAGGUAGUAUAGGCCCAGGAGGACCGCCAGGUAGAGCCACAUGGCUUUGCAGAGGACAGACCCAGACGGGCUGGGGUGAAGUGAGAGUCUGGCCUCUGUUCAGACAGGAGGACUUAAGAACACAGAGGGCUGAGGUAGGCAGGGAAGCCCUCAGGCAUUUUGGCAGAAAGUCCUCACUUUCCUCUCUGAUCACUGUCUUUCUGCACCAUUUUUUAUCCUGGCUUCAUCUCUCUGCUCUUUCAACUGCCUUUGCAGGUGUUCAUGCAUGCAACUGCAAACCCCAAGCUCUGCCCAGUGAGUAGUUAUCACUACUCAGCAAUGCUUCCCUAGUCCACCAAUGCCUCUCUGCCUUGCUGUGCCUACUCAGGUGUCCACACAGGGGCCCACACACACACACCAUGAAACACACCACUCUGAUCUACAAACAAGGGUCAGAACUUGUCUCUACAUAUCUUGUGAUAUGGUUUGGAUAUUUGUGCCACCAAAAUUGCAUGUUGAAAUGCGUUCCCCAAUAUUGGAGGCAGGAGCUGGUGGGAGGUGUUGGGUCAUGGUAGUGGAUCCCUCAUGGCUUGGUGCUGUCCUGGAGACACUGGAAUGAGUUGUGAUGGGAUCUGGUUGUUUAAAAGUGUGGCACCUCCCCAGCUCUCUCUUUCUUGCUCCCACUUGCCAUGUGACAAAUCAGCUCCCCCUUUGACUUCUGCAGUGAUUAUAAGCUUCCUGAUGCCUCACCAGGAGCCAAGCAGAUGCAUGCUUGUACAGCCUGCAGAACCAUGAGCCAAUUAAACCUGUUUUCUUUAUAAAUUACCCAGUCUCAGGUAUUUAUUAUAGCAACACAAGAACGGCCUAACACACAUUGUAUACCAACACUCCUGGACCAUGGUCUCCCAGAAAACAGACUUU